CCCUUAGAUGUUCUGGGCCGCACGCGCGCUACACUGAUGCAUUCAACGAGCACUCGCUUGGCCGAGAGGUCAGGCUAAUCUUUGAACGUGCAUCGUGCUGGGGAUAGAUGAUUGCAAUUAUUCAUCUUCAACGAGGAUUGCCUUGUAAGCGCACGUCAUCUGCGUGCAUUGAAUACGACCCUGUAUUCUGUACACACCGCCCGUCGCUCCUACCGAUUGAAGUUUUCGGUGAAUUUACUGGAGAUCCCUUUUGAAGGUGGUUCGCCACUGGAAGAAGUAUUCAAAAGUAAAUGAAUCGAAUGCUUUAGAGGAAGGAGAAGUCGUAACA
rnacentral:rRNA from 1 species